rnacentral:rRNA from 1 species
UGACUCAACACGGGAAAACUUACCAGGUCCGAACAUAAGUGUGUAAGACAGAUUGAUAGCUCUUUCUCGAAUCUAUGGGUGGUGGUGCAUGGCCAUAAAUUUUUAUAAGCAUAUGGUAUAUUAUUGGAUAAAUAUAAUAAUUUUUAUUCAUAAUAUUAAAAAAUAAAUGAAAAACAUUAUCUCACAUUUGAAUGUGAAAAACGAAGAGAAAUAUUUUCUUUUUCAAUCAAAUAAUACUGAGAAAUGUCUAGCAUAAAAAAUUGAAAUAUUUUCAUCUAGAAUUGUCUCUUAUUAAUGAUUCGGAAAUAGAAAAAUCUUGGUUAUGUUAUUAUUCUUCGUUGGUUCGUUAAAAAUGGAUAAAUAAAAACUUUGCAUACAAGAAUUAAUAAAAAUGUUAUAACGAAUUUAAUUAAAUGUUUUAUCAUUAUAUAUAAAGAAUUUAUGGCAAGAUAAAGUUAUAUACAACCUCAACUCAUAUGGGACUACCCCCUGAAUUUAAGCAUAUUAAUUAGGGGAGGAAAAGAAACUAACAAGGAUUUUCUUAGUAGCGGCGAGCGAAAAGAAAACAGUUCAGCACUAAGUCACUUUGUCUAUAUGGCAAAUGUGAGAUGCAGUGUAUGGAGCGUCAAUAUUCUAGUAUGAGAAAUUAACGAUUUAAGUCCUUCUUAAAUGAGGCCAUUUACCCAUAGAGGGUGCCAGGCCCGUAUAACGUUAAUGAUUACUAGAUGAUGUUUCCAAAGAGUCGUGUUGCUUGCAGCACUAAGUGGGUGGUAAACUCCAUCUAAAACUAAAUAUAACCAUGAGACCGAUAGUAAACAAGUACCGUGAGGGAAAGUUGAAAAGAACUCUGAAUAGAGAGUUAAACAGUACGUGAAACUGCUUAGAGGUUAAGCCCGAUGAACCUGAAUAUCCGUUAUGGAAAAUUCAUCAUUAAAAUUGUAAUAUUUAAAUAAUAUUAUGAGAAUAGUGUGCAUUUUUUCCAUAUAAGGACAUUGUAAUCUAUUAGCAUAUACCAAAUUUAUCAUAAAAUAUAACUUAUAGUUUAUUCCAAUUAAAUUGCUUGCAUUUUAACACAGAAUAAAUGUUAUUAAUUUGAUAAAGUGCUGAUAGAUUUAUAUGAUUACAGUGCGUUAAUUUUUCGGAAUUAUAUAAUGGCAUAAUUAUCAUUGAUUUUUGUGUUUAUUAUAUGCACUUGUAUGAUUAACAAUGCGAAAGAUUCAGGAUACCUUCGGGACCCGUCUUGAAACACGGACCAAGGAGUCUAACAUAUGUGCAAGUUAUUGGGAUAUAAACCUAAUAGCGUAAUUAACUUGACUAAUAAUGGGAUUAGUUUUUUAGCUAUUUAUAGCUAAUUAACACAAUCCCGGGGCGUUCUAUAUAGUUAUGUAUAAUGUAUAUUUAUAUUAUUUAUGCCUCUAACUGGAACGUACCUUGAGCAUAUAUGCUGUGACCCGAAAGAUGGUGAACUAUACUUGAUCAGGUUGAAGUCAGGGGAAACCCUGAUGGAAGACCGAAACAGUUCUGACGUGCAAAUCGAUUGUCAGAAUUGAGUAUAGGGGCGAAAGACCAAUCGAACCAUCUAGUAGCUGGUUCCUUCCGAAGUUUCCCUCAGGAUAGCUGGUGCAUUUUAAUAUUAUAUAAAAUAAUCUUAUCUGGUAAAGCGAAUGAUUAGAGGCCUUAGGGUCGAAACGAUCUUAACCUAUUCUCAAACUUUAAAUGGGUAAGAACCUUAACUUUCUUGAUAUGAAGUUCAAGGUUAUGAUAUAAUGUGCCCAGUGGGCCACUUUUGGUAAGCAGAACUGGCGCUGUGGGAUGAACCAAACGUAAUGUUACGGUGCCCAAAUUAACAACUCAUGCAGAUACCAUGAAAGGCGUUGGUUGCUUAAAACAGCAGGACGGUGAUCAUGGAAGUCGAAAUCCGCUAAGGAGUGUGUAACAACUCACCUGCCGAAGCAACUAGCCCUUAAAAUGGAUGGCGCUUAAGUUGUAUACCUAUACAUUACCGCUAAAGUAGAUGAUUUAUAUUACUUGUGAUAUAAAUUUUGAAACUUUAGUGAGUAGGAAGGUACAAUGGUAUGCGUAGAAGUGUUUGGCGUAAGCCUGCAUGGAGCUGCCAUUGGUACAGAUCUUGGUGGUAGUAGCAAAUAAUCGAAUGAGACCUUGGAGGACUGAAGUGGAGAAGGGUUUCGUGUGAACAGUGGUUGAUCACGAGUUAGUCGGUCCUAAGUUCAAGGCGAAAGCCGAAAAUUUUCAAGUAAAACAAAAAUGCCUAACUAUAUAAACAAAGCGAAUUAUAAUACACUUGAAUAAUUUUGAACGAAAGGGAAUACGGUUCCAAUUCCGUAACCUGUUGAGUAUCCGUUUGUUAUUAAAUAUGGGCCUCGUGCUCAUCCUGGCAACAGGAACGACCAUAAAGAAGCCGUCGAGAGAUAUCGGAAGAGUUUUCUUUUCUGUUUUAUAGCCGUACUACCAUGGAAGUCUUUCGCAGAGAGAUAUGGUAGAUGGGCUAGAAGAGCAUGACAUAUACUGUUGUGUCGAUUUUUUCUCCUCGGACCUUGAAAAUUUAUGGUGGGGACACGCAAACUUCUCAACAGGCCGUACCAAUAUCCGCAGCUGGUCUCCAAGGUGAAGAGUCUCUGAAGAUUGA